GGAAGCUCGAGCCCUAGACACGGUCCCCUCCACUCACUCCAUCACUCGCUCGAGCGGCUCCCGAAUCAGCAUUCAACACACAUCAUUCUGCCUUGUGCAACGCCAUUAUCUCCCGAGGACACAGGCUGCGUUGUCAUGGCAACCAGAGUCCUUCCACCAACUCAUUUAAUAAUUUUUCAACAGCGGCGCUGGGCUUGGGGCAGGGGAAGGAGCUCCGGGUCCUAGCACCUGUGGGCCUUGGACCCCGCCACUUUAGGCCUCAGUUUACCCACCUAUAACAGAGGUAUCUGAAAUUGGUGGCUUUUAUGACUUUCCCUGGCCUAGAAUAACCUCAGAGACUGAUUUCAAGGUCCAAGAAGCAGGAGGCAGGGAACCAGAGUGACUGGGGAGGUCUGAAGGUUCGAGUGACACUUUCAAUCCACAGGAAGAAUCAGAAGCGGCCUUUGGUGAUCAGACCCUCUCCUACUGCCCCUGCAAUGCCACUUUUCAGACAUUUCUGCAAUCUCUUGACCUGCCACAGUCAAGGCUAGGGUUCAUUCAGAGACAGGCUUGCCUGCAGUCAUCACAGCCCUCACUGUGCCCGAUGUGUUGCUGUUUAGUCUCUAAGUCAUGUCCAACUCUUCUGGGACUCCAUGGACUGUAGCUCACCAGGCUCCUGUAUCCAUGGGGUUUUCCAGGCAAGAAUAUUGGAGUGGGUUGCCAUGCCCUCCUCCAGAGGACUUUCCCAAGCCAGGGAUUGAACCCACGUCUCCUGAAUUGGCAGGUGGGUUCUACACCACUGAGCCACGUGGGAAGAAACCUCAAACCCAAUUUGCAGAUGUACAAACUGAGGCAAAGGAGCCCAUGAGCACCAGCAAGAAAGAAGCUCAGCUCCUGGAAAGGCUAGGCUGGCGGUGCCCAGGAAGCAAGCCAGUCCCCCUGCCUUGCCCUUCUACCCCAUUCAGCCCACGACGGGCCAGCUCCGGCCCCCACCUGUGCAGCCUCUGGCUCCCCCUCAAGCAGUCACAGAAACAAGCAAAAGCAAGAACUAAGUACUUGCUCUGCGUCCCCGACUACGUGGGGCACCGCAGACCUCAGAAGACGGCGUUUCUGCUCUUGGCUUAUCUGCAUGACCCACAGUAGGGCCUAGCACACAGUACGUGCUCAAAGCUUUAUUUGGUCCCGUUAUUGGCCCACAUCGGCCUCUGACCACCCUCCUCCCCAAAGGUCUCUAAAGAAAAUCUCCCAGAGCAGCCACCAACGUCUCAGCUCCAAGGAGCUGCUGCAGACCCCAUGCUGGGGAGGGGGGCUUUGUGACUCCCGGCUGGCUCCAGGGCUGGGGAGGCGGUGGCUCUGCCUUGGCACAGGCUGAUGGCACUGCUUUCGGCAGCCGCCAGCCCAGCGGCGCUAUUUAACUCCUCUGGGGCUGGCGUUUCCAUUUAAUGCCCGCGGCAUAAUUAACAGUGCUGCAUCUGCUCUGUCGUUACUGGCACUCUCU
rnacentral:lncRNA from 1 species